rnacentral:lncRNA from 1 species
CUUGAGGGAGAAGGAGGCCUGGAAUGAAGGCAAGGAUUCACUAUUAAUGAUAAAGCCCAGGAGGCCAGGUGUAGCUGUGGACUGAGACCAUACCUUGUGCCCAAUGUGGGGAAGGAGAACCAAAAAUGCUGCCUGCUUCCUGGGCAACAAGAGGGACUCGGGCACUGGGCAUUGUAAAAAAAAUAUGGUAGAAUCAGGAAGAGAAGCCAUAUUCUUCAGGCAUCCUGGCCAAGAAAUUUGUCUUACCCAGAUAGGAGAAAGCCUGAAUGCUAGCCCCAUGCAAAGCAAUAAGGUCCUAUCACAAGAGUCUGAGGCCAACUGACCUGGAUCAUUAGCCUGAGCAUACCUGGGUAGAUGGCAGCAACACUGCAGCAGCCCCAUCGUGGUAGGGCCAGGAAGGACUGCCCCAGGAAGGUCACCAGACCACUGAUCCCAUGGAGGUCCCAUCUCCUGCUGUGUUCUGCUCAUCUACAUCUGGCCUACUUCCCCUCUUGACAAUUCUAUUUUGUUGGUACCAUACAUAAAGGUGACAUUAAAAGGAAAACUGGGGUCUCUGACAACUGCUCCUCCAGAGAUUUUUUGUGUGUUUUGUUUUUGUUUUAGCAUCUCUUAACUGUACUGUGACCAGAGGGCCUCAAAGGGGAGAAUUCUAAUUUGCAAGAGGGGAGAAAGGACCUAAU